UACGAAGGGGGCUAGCGUUGUCCGGAAUUAUUGGGCGUAAAGGGCUCGUAGGCGGUCUGUCGCGUCGGGAGUGAAAACUCAGGGCUUAACCCUGAGCCUGCUUCCGAUACGGGCAGACUAGAGGUAUGCAGGGGAGAACGGAAUUCCUGGUGUAGCGGUGAAAUGCGCAGAUAUCAGGAGGAACACCGGUGGCGAAGGCGGUUCUCUGGGCAUUACCUGACGCUGAGGAGCGAAAGUGUGGGGAGCGAACAGG
rnacentral:rRNA from 1 species